AGCCAUGCGGUGAGCACAGAGCGAACUAUUCUUUCGCCUUUUACUAAAGAAUACCGUGUGCUCGCCUCAAAUAGUGGCAUACACCAAUUUUUGGGGGAGUUUCUCUCCACAGAGAAGC